GAUGAACGCUGGCGGCGUGCCUAAUACAUGCAAGUCGAGCGAACAGACGAGGAGCUUGCUCCUCUGACGUUAGCGGCGGACGGGUGAGUAACACGUGGAUAACCUACCUAUAAGACUGGGAUAACUUCGGGAAACCGGAGCUAAUACCGGAUAAUAUAUUGAACCGCAUGGUUCAAUAGUGAAAGACGGUUUUGCUGUCACUUAUAGAUGGAUCCGCGCCGCAUUAGCUAGUUGGUAAGGUAACGGCUUGCCAAGGCAACGAUGCGUAGCCGACCUGAGAGGGGGAUCGGCCACACUGGAACUGAGACACGGUACAGACUCCUACGGGAGGAAGCAGUAGGGAAUCUUCGGCAAUGGGCGAAAGCCUGACGGAGCAACGCCGCGUGAGUGAUGAAGGUCUUCGGAUCGUAAAACUCUGUUAUUAGGGAAGAACAAAUGUGUAAGUAACUAUGCACGUCUUGACGGUACCUAAUCAGAAAGCCACGGCUAACUACGUG
rnacentral:rRNA from 1 species